GCUUCGUAGGCGCGCGAAUACGUCGUGAGAAAGGAUUUCCUUCUCCUUUUUUUCCGUCCUCUCGUGAAAGUAGCGAAGCGUUUCGUAACUAACUAAUCUUGUGCACGAACCCAAAUUUUAUUUCGUCACGCGAAACAACGCGCCGUUAUUCGCUCGUACAGAUAAUCAUUUUACUAUUCUAUCUAUUACGAAAGUUAUAAUUCAGAUCUUUACUCUUUUCUAUUUUUCUUUUCGAGAAGAAUCACCAUGACGUCCAGGUGAUUGUCCGGACGAGUAAAAUACUCGAAAGCCAUCAAGCCGGGAAAAUGUCAAGGUUGGGGAUCGCUUGCUCGAAACACGUUUACCGAGUGUAUUUACGUUCUUAUAUUCCGGACUGGUUAACCGCUGGCUAUCAAGUGCCUACGUUCCACUUUUACCGCGUUCCUUCUGUCAACCGUUGUUACGCCUCUGAGCCGCAAUUACGUCCGACAGCGACAAAGCAGUGACUUUAAUGAAUGGAAGUCAUAUAAUAAUUUUCUUGCGACGGAAUAUUUAUACGCAACAUGAAGGUUUUGAAAAUUGGAUUUUUGUCAAGAUUGCAAGAAUGUAAGGUGCCGAUUUAUACCUUCAACUAAUAUUUAUAUCGCGGCAAUAGGAUAUUUAUGGUGUACUUAUGGAGAGCCGCAGAUAGCAUAGAAGAUACGGACGGGAGAAAUCCCAUAAGAGAGAAUUGAGAAAGCGAGGAACACACGGUUGUGGUAUUCCAAUACGUUUGGACAUGUGAGCGCGCGCAAACAAGCGUUCGAGCCGAAUUUUUACACUUCGAAACGUAUAAAAAUACGAGACAGAGCCGCGCCGGCGAGCUUAAUCAAUUUUCAGGCAUUAGCAUAUUUUGAAAUUCAUCUUACAAGUUGCCGUGUUUCCACACGAAUAGAAAUCUACGAUAUUAAAAUUAUAUUCAUAUCGACAUCCUGUUAUCGAAAUCUGCCAUCAACAGAUAGCGAAUAAAAUCGGCGCAUAUUUUACGCAAAAUAGUAAUUUCAAUUGCGCAGACGAGGACAAAAAAGGUUUAGGCGGCUGUCACGUUGUAUAAUGCACCGUUAUCGAAUUGUCAAGUCGAACAUGUAUCGAUACGUUUGCGCGAAGAAUUUCUGAGUGCCGCGAGAACUCUUUAUUCCAGACGCGCGACUGCGCUCGCAUUGAUUAUGCGUCGGAAUUGCACAAGUUUUCGCGAAGAGCAGCAAUGUGGAAUACAGUCAAGGUUCUUUAAAUAUCAAGGGGCAACAUUUCUCGGCAAUAAGUUUAAAUUGUUAUUUCAUUGCUGAUCUUAACAUUGAAACUCAGACGUGAGCGAGCGUGAUGAGAGAGAUUGCACGACGCGCGAACACAACGCGUAGGUCCGAAGGUAUUAAAAAUGGUGUACAAAUGCCGGCGAGAGAAAGUAGCGCCUCUGCGAAGGCUCUUCCCAUCUUGUAAUCGUUAUGUAUAGGACAUUUUCUGCGUGUUUGUUUCUUUCGCCCGUAAUAUACUGUAAUGAAAUUGAGAUUAACGCCCGUUUGUCCACGAGCUGGUCCUUUUCUCAAAAGAUCACUCGCUGCUAAUCAACGACUCCGUUUAGCUAAAUCUCGUGAGAAACGAUGAGGUAAGAUAAUUACACUUGCGCGAUGGCGCCCGAUGUAAACCGCAGACGAGUUAUUACCGGCGCAAGAUUGGCCGAGAAUUACGCGUGAAGACAUCCGAUACGCAUAACUCAAUCGCUCGGCGAUUAAAGUCCUGUAAUGCUCGUAAAAUCGCUCGACCUCGCUUUCGCCGGACUUCCUGCCGCGAAUGACGGAUAUCUGCAUUUUAAAGAUGAUUUAAAAGCAAUAAGAAUCCGCUCGGCGAAGCUGGCGAAUUUCUAAUCUGCGAAGUCGGAUUGUGGAUGAAGUUUGGGAACUCCUUUCUCUUCCUUUCGAUUCGUCUUACGAUUCUCGAUGAAUAAUCAAUUAGGAAAUGUAAUUCCGCGGACGGCCAACCGAACGCAUAUUUGCAGACAAGACGACGGCAUGCAGAAGCGAGAUGACGACCGCAGCUUGAGAGAGGUGCCUCGUUCACGCGGAUGUCAAACAGAUCAGUUUAGCGGUAAAGUGGAAAGUGAAGGUACGCAGCAGCGCGCGUUGGCAAUGACGUUGGACGCUCGUGUGGUGUUCUUUCUCAGACAUCCUUUGGCUCGCCUAUGAUGCUAUCGACAAAAAUACCGGCCACAAAGAAAGAGUCUAGAAAAGGAUUUGCAAACCGGAGAACAUUCCUCAAAGAAUAUCAUCUCACUCAAAGGGGGAAAAAAAAAAAAAAAUUAACGUCAAUGGCGACCUGCUAGAACUGGUCAGGCGUAGUUCCGAGAUAGAGCGAGAUCGCAGAAACCAGACGAUCGAGUCAGUGUGUACUUUAGGAAUUCAAUGUUAGAGAAUGAUCGGAACUUUGCACCGCUUUGGAAAGCUGAACUAACGUAAAGAUCACUACUGGCACUUAAUCGAAGCGAUAUGCGAGUGGCGAAAAAAGUUCGGUCGAAUCUUUUAGAACAGGAACGUCGGCGGGGAGAAAGGCGAUCGACAAAGUGAGUAACGGAGAGCGCGCGUACCUGCGACGACGGUCAGGACGACGCAGAGGAGCGCCGCUUCCUGGAGCUUCAUCGUUCUCGCGCGUGUGCGUCCCGGCGACAGUUCAGAGGGCCGACAGUCGCGUGUGCGGGAUCCCGAUUCACGUGCCUCGACGCCCUCGUUCAGCUCGUGCGAUCACCGUAGCCACGGCGAUGUAUCAUCCGACCGAUCCAACGGGCUGAUCCGCUGUCGCGACACUGCCGGGGAUACGCCGCCGCCACCGGCGCGGCACUUCUCGGGAACUCGGCCGACCGGAGGAACCGUUCUCAGCCCAUUGGCUGACCACUUUCUAUCGGCGGCGGCGGCAACCGCCGAGAAAAGCUGUCUCUCAUAUCGGACACGACACGUCGCAGCGUGAGAUUCGCGUCUCGCUCGCGGGCAAACUUGCCUUCGAGCCUCUCUGCUCGUUUCGCUUUCAAAACAGGGCCGGAUCGGUAUUGCCCCGUGGCUAUGCUUUUUUUUUCCUCUUGUCGCUGGGAAUCGCAAAACACUUUGUACAAUGCACAAGUUAUGCUGAGAUAUUUUUGGAAACUGGAAUAAGAGAACAUUAAGUUCUUGCACGGCAAUUGUUUCCAUUUAGAAACGCAAUUGUGUAAAUGAGUUUUAUUUAAUACUGAAAAAAGGCCCUCUCGAAACUCGAUAUGUAUAAGAAUCUUUGCAUGCUGCAACAGUAUUACUAAAUAUAAAUGUGCGCACUAGAUUCGCACAAUCUUAAUUAUUCUAAUAUCAAUUAUGCUAUUAUAUAGACAUUAAUAAAAUAUUUUUAGACUUCUCUCUCGAAA
rnacentral:lncRNA from 1 species